rnacentral:lncRNA from 1 species
GGGGGUCUGAAAGGGCCUAAAAUGGGGCUGGGAGGGGGGGGUCUGAGAGGCCCUAAAAUGGGGCUCUGGGGGGGGAUGCAGUGCUUGCAGGUGCUGAGGUGGCCCUGGGGACGCUUUGAGCGGUGCUACGAAGCGUUGGGUUUUGGGGCCUUCUUGGAUGAACCGUUUGCUUCUUCAAGUCCACCUUUAAAAAAGAAACUUCUGUUUUCGUUUCUUUCAGCCCCGAAAGCGCCGUCCUCUGUCACAGGAUCGGAACUGUGGGACAGCAGUAGGGAAGGGGCAGCGUUUGGGCCCAGCGCUGACCCCAUCACUUCAAGGAGAGCCUCGGCCUUCCACUUCCCCAAAAUUUGGGAUGGAAAAAAAGGGGAAAUGGGGCAAAAGGAGGAAGCUGAAGGCCGUUCACCUUCUGGCUGCGUUUGCUUUUUCCCGGCGCCUCGGUCCGCUGUGAGAUUUGGCCGGAAUUGGUCAAAAGUGAAUUUCCUCGUGAAUUCCAGCCUUUUCGUUUUCGGUGCUGGAUGAGAACCGUGCAGGAAACGGGAGGAUGUCCAGAAGGAAGGAAAGGAACGCCUUCCAAACGUGGCUUUUCACGACGCUGAGUGAUAAACACGAGGAGUUCCGACCCAACCCUACAACAGAACCCGCCCUCAUACAGAAGAAAUGCUGAGUUUGGGUGCGCGCUUCUGAGAAUUUUGGUGUGAAACCUCCAAGAAAAAAAAAACAAAACAAAACCCCACCAACUUCAGGGAAGUGUUGGCUUCGCUCGUGGAGAGCAGUGUGUAUUUUAGCUAUUUCUCCUAAAAACCAACAAAGGAGGGGCUGCGGCACGUGGCCGGAGGCUGAACGAGUGCGUCAGUCAGCCGCUGUGAAAGUAAUGGUGUAACGUGAACAUUCACUUCCCCCGGAAGAGUUGACGUGUUUUCCCAACCUCAUAAAUCGGAGAGGUUUUGGGAAAGGAGGAUCAGAGAUGGCACUGAACGGAGGUGCUGAUGGCGCCUGUGAGAACUGGGAGCUCACCAAGGACAUGCUGCUGGAGGAGCAGAGCCCGAGGAAAUCGCCCAAAAGAGCGGUGCUGUCGCUCCUGCCCUCGUCCCCACCAAGAGCCGUUGUGCUGCUGGCCCUGCUCCUGGCCCUCAGCUUUGUGUUCCUCAUGAUUCUUAUCCUUGUGAACAUCCAAAGAGGUGAGAUAAGCACCGUGCUCGCGUUCCCACCACCGC